rnacentral:lncRNA from 1 species
CCGUAUUUGACACUAGGUUUCUAAACAGUCUUUUUUUUUUCUCCUUGUAUAAAUGGGCCUUAAGUGGUUACCGUUUUACCUCGAUGAAAACAAAGAGCAGGCAAUUUUUCCAGACAGAAAAUUGCUGUGAGAUCCGGUGAAAGUGUGUGAGAUGAAGAACACAGACCUGACAGGCCGCACAGCAGUUGGUAAGUAAUGAAAACAAGAACCGAGGCCGAAUGUCCAGAGAGCCGGGGAAGGGCUCUCAGCCUGUAAACGGGAGGACUGAUUUGCCUUGUAAUCUAAAAGUGUAUUUGCCCUGUUAGAGCAGUUCAGUUCCAUAAACACUUCUCUACGAGUGCCCUUUAUAAGCAGCCAAAGGACAUUGUCAUUGCACCCCCUAUAAAGUGAAAAGCCAACCUGAUAGAACAGGAACUACAUCCUGGGAAAGAAGGAGAACAAAGCCCAUUGUGAAGCGGGGCUUUUUGUCCAGGUCUUUGCUACAAACGUCUAUUCAGACCCCUGCAAACAUGGAACUCUACCCUUUUUUGGUGAAAAAGCACUGAUUGCUGCUCAAGGAAGAUUUACGGGAA